UGUACUUGAGGUGGAGUUAUAGGGAGAAAAAAUUAGAGGUUGAAUAAUUGUUUAGAAUUAAUUAGAAUUUUAUUUAAUUAAAAUUAUAUAAAGGUAUUUGAUUUGUUGUGGGAAGUAAUUAAUUAAGGGUGAGUCAUAAGGGUGCAUGACCUUGAGGUUAAGACUUUAGAGAUAAUAAAGACUAUUUUGAAUAAACUAGAAUUAAUUUAAUAAUAAUUGAA
rnacentral:lncRNA from 1 species